AGAGUUUGAUUCUGGCUCAGAACGAACGCUGGCGGCGCGUUUUAAGCAUGCAAGUCGAGCGGCAAGGGCCUUCGGGCCCCUAGAGCGGCGGACGGGUGAGUAACACGUGGACAAUCUGCCCCCGGCCCGGGAUAGCCCAGGGAAACCUGGAUUAAUACCGGAUGAGACGGGACCCGCGAUGGCGGGACCCGGGAAAGGCGCUGCGGCGCCGCCGGGGGAUGAGUCUGCGUCCCAUUAGCUAGACGGCGGGGUAACGGCCCACCGUGGCGACGAUGGGUAGCCGGCCUGAGAGGGUGGACGGCCACAUUGGAACUGAGACACGGUCCAGACUCCUACGGGAGGCAGCAGCUAAGAAUCUUCCGCAAUGGGCGAAAGCCUGACGGAGCGACGCCCGCGUGAACGAAGAAGGCCGUGAGGUUGUAAAGUUCUUUUCGGGAGGGGGAACAACCGUGGCAGGGAAUGGCCGCGGGAUGACGUGAAUCCCGGAAUAAGCCCCGGCUAACUACGUGCCAGCAGCCGC
rnacentral:rRNA from 1 species